CGCGUUGGCCCAAUUGAUUGAUGGUGCUUGCACCUGCAUUGAUUUUGGUCGCCAACGAGUGGCGGACGGGUGAGUAACACGUAGGUAACCUGCCCAGAAGCGGGGGACAACAUUUGGAAACAGAUGCUAAUACCGCAUAACAGCGUUGUUCGCAUGAACAACGCUUAAAAGAUGGCUUCUCGCUAUCACUUCUGGAUGGACCUGCGGUGCAUUAGCUUGUUGGUGGGGUAACGGCCUACCAAGGCGAUGAUGCAUAGCCGAGUUGAGAGACUGAUCGGCCACAAUGGGACUGAGACACGGCCCAUACUCCUACGGGAGGCAGCAGUAGGGAAUCUUCCACAAUGGGCGCAAGCCUGAUGGAGCAACACCGCGUGAGUGAAGAAGGGUUUCGGCUCGUAAAGCUCUGUUGUUAAAGAAGAACACGUAUGAGAGUAACUGUUCAUACGUUGACGGUAUUUAACCAGAAAGUCACGGCUAACUACGUGCCAGCAGCCGCGGUAAUACGUAGGUGGCAAGCGUUAUCCGGAUUUAUUGGGCGUAAAGAGAGUGCAGGCGGUUUUCUAAGUCUGAUGUGAAAGCCUUCGGCUUAACCGGAGAAGUGCAUCGGAAACUGGAUAACUUGAGUGCAGAAGAGGGUAGUGGAACUCCAUGUGUAGCGGUGGAAUGCGUAGAUAUAUGGAAGAACACCAGUGGCGAAGGCGGCUACCUGGUCUGCAACUGACGCUGAGACUCGAAAGCAUGGGUAGCGAACAGGAUUAGAUACCCUGGUAGUCCAUGCCGUAAACGAUGAGUGCUAGGUGUUGGAGGGUUUCCGCCCUUCAGUGCCGGAGCUAACGCAUUAAGCACUCCGCCUGGGGAGUACGACCGCAAGGUUGAAACUCAAAGGAAUUGACGGGGGCCCGCACAAGCGGUGGAGCAUGUGGUUUAAUUCGAAGCUACGCGAAGAACCUUACCAGGUCUUGACAUCUUGCGCCAACCCUAGAGAUAGGGCGUUUCCUUCGGGAACGCAAUGACAGGUGGUGCAUGGUCGUCGUCAGCUCGUGUCGUGAGAUGUUGGGUUAAGUCCCGCAACGAGCGCAACCCUUGUUACUAGUUGCCAGCAUUAAGUUGGGCACUCUAGUGAGACUGCCGGUGACAAACCGGAGGAAGGUGGGGACGACGUCAGAUCAUCAUGCCCCUUAUGACCUGGGCUACACACGUGCUACAAUGGACGGUACAACGAGUCGCGAACUCGCGAGGGCAAGCAAAUCUCUUAAAACCGUUCUCAGUUCGGACUGCAGGCUGCAACUCGCCUGCACGAAGUCGGAAUCGCUAGUAAUCGCGGAUCAGCAUGCCGCGGUGAAUACGUUCCCGGGCCUUGUACACACCGCCCGUCAC
rnacentral:rRNA from 1 species